CCUACGGGUGGCAGCAGUGAGGAAUAUUGGUCAAUGGCCGGAAGGCUGAACCAGCCAAGUCGCGUGAAGGACGAAGGUGCCAAGCAUUGUAAACUUCUUUUGUCAAGGGACAAAAUCAGGCUCGAGAGCCUGACCGAGGGUACCUGAAGAAAAAGCAUCGGCUAACUCCGUGCCAGCAGCCGCGGUAAUACGGAGGAUGCGAGCGUUAUCCGGAUUUAUUGGGUUUAAAGGGUGCGCAGGCGGGAGGUCAAGUCAGCGGUAAAAGUCCGGGGCUCAACCCCGGCGAGCCGUUGAAACUGGUUUUCUUGAGUGAGCGAGAGGUAUGCGGAAUGCGCGGUGUAGCGGUGAAAUGCUUAGAUAUUGCGCAGAACUCCGAUUGCGAAGGCAGCAUACCGGCGCCGAACUGACGCUGAGGCACGAAAGCGUGGGUAUCGAACAGGAUUAGAUACCCGAGUAGUC
rnacentral:rRNA from 1 species